UUUUGGACAAUGGGGGCAACCCUGAUCCAGCCAUUCCGCGUGAGUGAAGAAGGCCUUCGGGUUGUAAAGCUCUUUCGGACGGAACGAAAUGGGCGGGAUUAAUACUCCUGUCUCAUGACGGUACCGUAAGAAGAAGCACCGGCUAACUACGUGCCAGCAGCCGCGGUAAUACGUAGGGUGCGAGCGUUAAUCGGAAUUACUGGGCGUAAAGCGUGCGCAGGCGGUUUCGUAAGCCGGAGGUGAAAUCCCCGGGCUUAACCUGGGAAUGGCCUUCAGGACUGCGAGGCUAGAGUGCGGCAGAGGGAGGUGGAAUUCCACGUGUAGCAGUGAAAUGCGUAGAGAUGUGGAGGAACACCGAUGGCGAAGGCAGCCUCCUGGGCCAGCACUGACGCUCAUGCACGAAA
rnacentral:rRNA from 1 species